rnacentral:lncRNA from 1 species
UGGGCAGAGGCUGCUGUGUGAGCAACCCAACUUGAUCCUGCUGUAAAGGAGAAAUGGAUGAAGGAGCUGAGGUUUCAAAGACAAGGGAACAGAAGAGCAGGAGGAGCAGGUGUAGUGGAGCCAUCGAGAUCCUACAUGUUAGUGUCCCUCAGAGGGGCGCUGAGUAUCGGCAAUGGGAGCCUUCCCUGUCUUAAUAAGCUGAGUCGCCAUCAGAGGGAACACAGAGACAUUGUCUGCGUGCCACCCGGCCGGCUGUUCCACAUCGUCCGUCCGCAGCAUCCGCAGUGCCGGGGGCUGCUCCCAGCCGGCCCGAGCACUCGCACCCGCAGCUUAGUCCUGGCUCCAUCCUGCGCUGGGUCGCUGAGUCCUCCAAGCUCAGUCCUCCCGUCCAUGGGGCUGGAAUCAGUAGCUACUCCACGAGGAUCCAGGAGGAUUAAACGGGCUAAGAGGUACGAAAUCCUUGCGGCUGCGGGGGGUCUAUUGCACACAGGGCUCUGGGGGUCUAUUGCACCAGUCUUGUUAUUUCUCUCCCCUUUGAUGAAUGAGGAGGAGACCCCGGGGGCAGGGCUUGUCCCCAUUCUCACCGCUGCCCGACAGUGGGUGGUGCCCAGGCUGGACUCCGUCCCCUGCCCCUCCUGGGUGUCCCCACUCCUAUGCCUCAGCUGUUUGGAAACUCAGUGAGGCUGCCCCACUUCCUGAGGCCCCUGUACCUCUCCCCUCCUCACCUGGCAUCUCCCCAGGGGUGACUCCAGCGCCGUCCAGCCCCAGGCCCCACGCCCUGCCAUGCUGGAUGUGAGUGAAGCGAUGGACACACACUGCACCUCCUGCACAGUCUGAGGGCACUCAGCCUCCCAGUCCCGUCCGAGGCCCUGGGAGCCCAAGGUGCAGGGUCUGAGUCUUCAGUCAUGCAGGAAUUCAUCCAACAGUUCUCAGCACCUGUUUUGCCAGGUGGUUACUGGGGAUGGAGAGAUGAGGCAAUCACAGGCCAGCUGGGCAGAAAGGGGACCCGUGGAUGUUCAUGGUGCAGCAUGAGGACAGGGUGACCAAGGGCUGACCUCGUAACCAUUCUCAGCCUUGGGUUUCUCAUCUUUAAAACAGGAAUAGCAAAACCUACAUCACAUGGCUGUUGUUGAGGAGAGCGGCAGCCUGGUCCUCUGCCAGACACUGUCCUAAGCACUUUAAAAACACAAACUCCCUUGAUCUACAUGAAAAUUCUACGACAUAGGUACCACCGUUAUCACCCCUUUUUGCAGAUGAGGAAACUGGGGCACAGACAGGCGACGUAACUGCCUCAGAUCACAGAGCCCAGGCGGUCCAGUUCCAGCAUCCAGCUCUUGAUCGGGGCCCACAUGGGGUGUCCGGGGCCUCCCGUCGCCCUUUACUGGGACCCACGGCCACAGCCUGACGUCAGUGUGACUAUUCAUGGGGGCAGGGUGGGGGCACCACCACCCCGUUUCUCCAGGCACUUCUUUCCUAUGAGACCGGCAGCUCAAGGGGCUGUGUUGUAUUCGCCGCUGGUUACCCAGGUCCAAGUCC